rnacentral:rRNA from 1 species
CCUACGGGAGGCAGCAGUGGGGGAAAUUUGGACCAAUGGGGCGCAAGCCUGAUCCCAGCAAUGCCCGCGUGAGUGAAGAAGGCCUUCGGGUUGUAAAGCUCUUUUGUCAGGGAAGAAACGGUAGUAGCGAAUAACUAUUACUAAUGACGGUACCUGAAGAAUAAGCACCGGCUAACUACGUGCCAGCAGCCGCGGUAAU